rnacentral:rRNA from 1 species
GACGAACGCUGGCGGCGUGCUUAACACAUGCAAGUCGAACGGAAAGGCCCUGCUUUUGUGGGGUGCUCGAGAGGCGAACGGGUGAGUAACACGUGAGUAACCUGCCCUUGACUUUGGGAUAACUUCAGGAAACUGGGGCUAAUACCGGAUAGGAGCUCCUGCUGCAUGGUGGGGGUUGGAAAGUUUCGGCGGUUGGGGAUGGACUCGCGGCUUAUCAGCUUGUUGGUGGGGUAGUGGCUUACCAAGGCUUUGACGGGUAGCCGGCCUGAGAGGGUGACCGGCCACAUUGGGACUGAGAUACGGCCCAGACUCCUACGGGAGGCAGCAGUGGGGAAUAUUGCACAAUGGGCGGAAGCCUGAUGCAGCAACGCCGCGUGCGGGAUGACGGCCUUCGGGUUGUAAACCGCUUUCGACUGUGACGAAGCGUGAGUGACGGUAAUGGGUAAAGAAGCACCGGCUAACUACGUG